ACUCCUACGGGAGGCAGCAGUAGGGAAUUUUCCGCAAUGGACGAAAGUCUGACGGAGCAAUGCCGCGUGAGUGAUGAAGGUUUUCGAAUCGUAAAGCUCUGUUGUAAGGGAAGAAUAGCGAGUAGUAAGGAAAUGACUACUGUGUGACGGUACCUUACCAGAAAGCCACGGCUAACUACGUGCCAGCAGCCGCGGUAAUACGUAGGUGGCAAGCGUUAUCCGGAAUUAUUGGGCGUAAAGCGCAUGUAGGCGGCUCUUUAAGUCUGAUGUGAAAGCCUGUGGCUCAACCACAGAAUUGCAUUGGAUACUGGAGAGCUAGAAUCUUGGAGAGGUAAGUGGAAUUUCAUGUGUAGCGGUGGAAUGCGUAGAUAUAUGAAGGAACACCAAUGGCGAAGGCAGCUUACUGGACAAGUAUUGACGCUGAGAUGCGAAAGUGUGGUAGCAAACAGGAUUAGAUACCCUGGUAGA
rnacentral:rRNA from 1 species